rnacentral:rRNA from 1 species
CGGAGGGUGCAAGCGUUAUCCGGAUUCACUGGGUUUAAAGGGUGCGUAGGUGGGUUGGUAAGUCCGUGGUGAAAUCUCCAAGCUUAACUUGGAAACUGCCGUGGAUACUAUCAAUCUUGAAUCUCGUGGAGGUAAGCGGAAUAUGUCAUGUAGCGGUGAAAUGCUUAGAUAUGACAUAGAACACCGAUAGCGAAGGCAGCUUGCUACACGAGUAUUGACACUGAGGCACGAAAGCGUGGGGAGUCAAACAGGAUUAGAUACCCUGGUAGUCCACGCCCUAAACGAUGGACACUCGACAUACGCGAUACACAGUGUGUGUCUGAGCGAAAGCAUUAAGUAUCCCACCUGGGAAGUACGACCGCAAGGUUG